AUUUGACCUCAAAUCAGGUAAGACUACCCGCUGAACUUAAGCAUAUCAAUAAGCGGAGGAAAAGAAACUAACAAGGAUUCCCCUAGUAACUGCGAGUGAAGCGGGAAAAGCUCAAAUUUAAAAUCUGGCAGCCUUUGGCUGUC
rnacentral:rRNA from 1 species